rnacentral:rRNA from 1 species
AUUGAACGCUGGCGGCAUGCCUUACACAUGCAAGUCGAGCGGGGACUUCGGUCCUAGCGGCGAACGGGUGAGGAAUGCUUGGGAAUCUGCCCAGUAGCGGGGGAUAACGUUUCGAAAGGAACGCUAAUACCGCAUACGCCCUACGGGGGAAAGGGGGGGAUCUUCGGCCCUCUCACUAUUGGAUGAGCCCAAGUCGGAUUAGCUAGUUGGUGGGGUAAAGGCCUACUAAGGCGACGAUCCGUAGCUGGUCUGAGAGGAUGAUCAGCCACACUGGAACUGAGACACGGUCCAGACUCCUACGGGAGGCAGCAGUGGGGAAUAUUGGACAAUGGGCGAAAGCCUGAUCCAGCCAUGCCGCGUGUGUGAAGAAGGCCUUCGGGUUGUAAAGCACUUUAAGCGAGGAGGAAUGGCUGAGGGUUAAUAACCUUCAGCAGUGACGUUACUCGCAGAAUAAGCACCGGCUAACUCUGUGCCAGCAGCCGCCGUAA